rnacentral:rRNA from 1 species
GUGGGGAAUCUUCCGCAAUGGACGAAAGUCUGACGGAGCAACGCCGCGUGAGUGAAGAAGGUUUUCGGAUCGUAAAGCUCUUUCGUUAGGGACGAACGUGCUCUUUGUAAAUAAUGAGGAGUAAUGACGGUACCUAAAUAAGAAGCCACGGCUAACUACGUGCCAGCAGCCGCGGUAAUACGUAGGUGGCAAGCGUUGUCCGGAAUUAUUGGGCGUAAAGCGCGCGCAGGCGGGAUAUCAAGUCUGUCUUAAAAGUGCGAGGCUCAACCUCGUGAGGGGACAGAAACUGGUAUUCUUGAGUGUCGGAGAGGAAAGUGGAAUUCCAAGUGUAGCGGUGAAAUGCGUAGAGAUUUGGAAGAACACCAGUGGCGAAGGCGACUUUCUGGACGAUGUCUGACGCUGAGGCGCGAAAGCUAGGGGAGCGAACGGGAUUAGAAACCCUUGUAGUCC